rnacentral:rRNA from 1 species
UACGGAGGGUGCAAGCGUUAAUCGGAAUUACUGGGCGUAAAGCGUGCGCAGGCGGUUUGUUAAGUCCGUUGUGAAAGCCCCGAGCUCAACUUGGGAAUUGCAGUGGAUACUGGCAGGCUGGAGUACGGGAGAGGAAGGUGGAAUUCCCGGUGUAGCAGUGAAAUGCGUAGAUAUCGGGAGGAACACCAGUGGCGAAGGCGGCCUUCUGGACCAGUACUGACGCUCAUGCACGAAAGCGUGGGGAGCAAACAGG